UCCUCCAAUACCUGGCAUAGGACACGGUGCUCUCCUGUAUACUCCCUUUUUCUUUGCACAAAAUCCAUGACUUAUGCUGGAGGCUGAAAGAAGAAAAUAAGUUCGCGUAACAAGUGAAGAGGAAGUGGUAAACUUUUCUUCCUGAAGCGUCACAACAUAAAAUAAGUAGACGAACAAAACUAAAAUAAGAAUCGAUAUAUUUUUGUGUGUAAUACUAUUUAUUUUGAAUAUAUGGUGUUAUUUUUA